rnacentral:lncRNA from 1 species
UGGCGGUAGCUCCACUCCUCCCCCAGAGUUUAAUCGAGAUCAUUGUUGAGCACACUGCACUCUCUGUGCACCACCGUGCAUAUCCUCAUCUUCAUCGUAUGCCUCUUGUGCUUGCUUCCUGCGCAUCUCCUCUUCAAUGUUGACAUCGUGGAGAGUGGUCUCUUCACAUUCAUCCAAUUCCAUAUCUGAGAGCUGCACUGAGGUCCUGGGAGGCAGAACGCCCUCCAGCGCCUUGCACUGUUCGGGGUUCAAGGAGUCUGGGAACUCAACACUGAAGUGGAUGUAAAGUUUGCCCUUCAUGAAUGGCCUCUGGUACAUAGGCAUACCCUCAUCGUUUAUGGCCUUGAAUUGGUCUGUGCAAUUAAGAAUGGAAAACAUUGAGCAAAUGCCUCAACAUGCAAUACAAGCAGAUGUACUGAAACACAAACAGUUACAUACCAGGCUUCACUACUUCACCGGGAAGUGAUUUGAUGAGUAGCUGUCGGCCAUCCAAAUGAGUCAGAAUAAAUUGGAAACCACACAGAGACUCGACGAGAGACAAGGUAUGCUCUACAAAGAGGUCAUCGCCCUUUCUCUUAAACUUGGGGUGCUCUUUUUGUUGUAGGACAAAGACAAUGUCCCCAGUAACAGUGUCGGGCUGAACAAACAGGCAAAAUGAAAACCAAUCAAGAUCACAUGUUACAGAGAGACAAUUACCAAGUUUUGGAAGUUACUCAAGAAAAAUUCAGUCUCACCGCUUCAUCUGCUUCACCAGGGAAUGUAAUCUUUUGUGCAUUUUGCAUACCCUUCUCCACAAUAACUUCCAAAACUUUUUUCUCCUGAACAACCUUUUCACCCUUGCAUUGUGAGCAGCGAUCUUUAUCAUUGAUGGUCUCACCAGUUCCUUUACAUUCAUUGCAAGGAUGCUGCAUUUGCUGAAUCAUAGAGGGGCCAAGGUGUCUGAUGGAAACUUUCAUACCAGAACCUUGACAGCCAGGACACUUCAUUGAAGCACCAGAUUUAGAACCCUUACUGUGAUUUGUUAAAGAAAAAUCAACAUGAUUUCAUUAUAAAGUAACGGAUAAUUAAAGAAGGGAAAAGGCAUAAGUGCAUAACAACCAGAGUUACUCACCCCUUGCACUUUGAGCAAAUUACAUUACGUGAAAGAGAGAGCUUCUUUGAAGUACCGUUGUAGAGAUCUUCCAACGAGACCUUGAGAGGAUGGAUAACAUCCUCUCCCCUUCUCUGCCUUCGGCCUCUGCUGCUUCCACCACCUAAACAGAAUCUCGAAAUCGAUUUCAAUUGCUUACAAUAACCUCACAUUACAUAAUUAAACAUCACAACAAAUAAUAUUACCACCAAACGGGCUUCCACCAAAGAAAGACUGGAAUAUGUCAAAUGGAUCAUGACCACCGCCACCUCCCAUUCCUUCCUUGAGGGCAUCCUCGCCAUAUUGAUCAUAUAUCUCACGUUUCUCUGGAUCACUCAGCACCUCGUAGGCUUGUGCUAACUCCUUGAACUGAAUCAUAAAAGGAAAUUUUUCAAAAAGGUCAAUAUUUAUCUCUUUUGUCGAAUAACUCAGCUGUCUGAACCAUUUUUUUCACGUAAACAGAAGAUUGACCAACAUCAGAUUUAAGUACCCGCGUAAACAGAGAACGACCGACAAACAUUUAAUCGUUCAACACAUUCCACUUCAAAACAUUCAUAUUAUUUACUACACAAGUAAACGAGCAAAUCAACGUAAGAAGACCAUCAAUUCCGCUAGAUGAUUCUUGCAACCCUAAGCAAACAACUCCCUUGACUAAAAUAAAAGCAUGUUAAACCGUCUUAAUUAAAAUCCAAGACCGUCAGCAAAGCAUCAAUUCACGGAACUAAGCAGUCGAUCUCAACAUAACGAUCCACCGUCAAUUAUCAUCAGGAAAACUCGUUAGAAAAUAGCCAGUAUUAAAAAACUACCAACGAUUCAAAAAUCACCAAAGAAUGAAGAAAAUGCUCACUUUUUCAGGGUCGCCACCUUUAUCAGGAUGGUUCUUGAUGGCGGCCUUUCUAUAAGCCUUCUUUAGAUCGUCUUGCGACGCAUUCUUCGAGACUCCAAGAAUCUCAUAAUAUUUGGUAUUAUCGCUCUUCUUCGGCCUUCCAAACAUCUUUGCCCAAACGAUCGGAUCUCAGCAAACCCUAACGAAACAAAUCAACCCCCGAGUCAAAAAAAAAAAAAAAAGAUCGCGAAACCAAAUUCGAUGAGAAAAACAAACAAAUCGAAACCCGAUGAAUCGAAAAUAAGAGAAAACAAGAACCUUAGAAGAGAGAAAAGGGCGAUCUUGAAGUGAAAGAUCGGGUAGAGAGAUCGGUGACCUGAGAGCAGAGAACCCAAAAGGAACGGUUCGAGACGGCGAGGUAGAGAGAGGGAUUGAAGAGUCUGAAAUCUCGAACUAUAAAGGAAAUAGAUGGACGGUCAGGAUUGUUGGUUUAAAAUAUGUGGUCAGGUAAGGCUUAGGGGUAAUCUUGACAUUUUCCAAAGCAAGGCGGCCAAGCCCAUACAUGCUUAAGAAGGAUCUAGAAUUUUCUUGCUUUCUUAUUUUAAGCAAUUACGUUGAGAAGUGGUUUCGUAUUUACUUCCAAAUCUUUUAUUUAAUAGGUCUUUAUAUAUAUAUAUAUUAUUUUAAAUAAAUAUUUGGGAUUUUUUAAAAAUAAAGCAAAAUAUUUACCACAAAAGUUUGUAUAGCAAAAAAAAUUAGUUUAAAUUUGUAUAGUCAAAUCUAAACUAGUUUAAAUUUGUAUAGUCAAAUCUAAACUAGUUUAAGAUAAGAUAUUGUCGUUUCACGGUUUAAAUAACAAUAACAGUUUAAAAAAAAUUACAGAAAAUAAGAUAAAAGUGGAGAGUAAAAAAAUUAAGUAAACAAAAUAAUUUAUUAUUUUAUUAUAUUUGUGAAAAUUAGACUAAAUACUUACUGAUGUAAUAUUGUAGGUAGUACAAAAUAAUUCUAUUUACUUAUUUAAUACCGUGUCAAAACAACUGAGUACUGUCGGUAGAAACAUAAAAUUUUCCUUUUCUACAUGUGUUUGUUAUUGAUAAUUACAAUCGUUUUAUUUUAAUAUCGUUGUAAUUUUUUUUCUUUACGUAUUUAUCUAUCGUAUAUAAUAAUAUUUGUGUCUUAUAGUUGAAUAGCUAUAAAGCAAUAAUAUUUGACUUUGUUUAACUAUGUACUGUUGUAAAAUUUUUCAUUUUUCGCUGUCAACAAUUCACCAAUUCAUUAACAUUCUCACUUAUGCAUAAAAUGACAUACGAGAAGCCUUAGCUUACUCGUUCAAACCCCUUCUAAUUCUGCUCAACUACUAGUGCGUGUACUUAUAUCAACUAUAAUUAAACAUGCACGUUCAACCUAUUGUUUUGUAUGUCGUAGAUGAAUAAGUUCGUGUUUGUUUGAUUUUAAUUUACUAAGAGUAGUAAUUGGAUUGCAUCAUUUUUCAUAUGUCCUGCCCCCGACCACAAAAUGAAACAAAGACUAUUAAAAAACAUAUGAUUUUAACGCGUUGUCACGUGACACUUUGUAUUGUUUUACAUUUCAUAUGAGUUCAAAAUAUAAGAACCACUACCUCUUUUUAGUUGGAAAUUGAUCGUAUAUUUCCACCAAACAUCUAUCUAUCAACAUUUAGAUUUAAAAUAAAAAAAAAUUUGCGACGUUAUGUCAAAAUCAUGCAAUAUUCUCGUUUAGGCCCAAAUACGACUAUCAUACUCUUAUCCAAUUAAACUAUUAAUUAAACACAAACAUUGACAAAAUGUAUUUUAAAAGGAUAGCAAAUAAGUAAAUAUGAAUUUGAAAACAAAAUUUUAAUAUUAUUAUUUGAGAAAAUAGAUUUAUAAUAUCUUAAAUCAAAGUUAAAAGUGAUUUUCUGUUUUGCUAAAUAUUUUAUCAAAAUUUGUUACUUUUGAUUAUUUAUUUAAAUAAAAUCUUACAAAACUUAGAUUUAGAUUUUUCUACUAUAAAUAUUAAAUCUUCUAUUUUUUACAAAUCAUCUUUUAAAAUUUAACUAUUUAUGUUAAUUAUGGUUGAUUGUUUUGAUUGAACAAGUGAUUAUUCCCAAAGCACAAGUUUCAAAUAAAUCUAAAAAAAAGAGUAUAUUUUUAUUAACGAUUUAUUUUGAAUAAAAGGCAUUUUUUAAUUUUGAAGCAAUAUGUUUCUACAAUGUCCGUACGGAAGCCAUCGUUGGUGCGUUCAGUGAAUAUAGGAGUGGGCGCAAAAGCGCGGAGUUUGGCAGUGCUUUUGGAGCGAGUGCUUUUAUAGAGAACCAUUUAAGCUUAGAAGAAGAGAGAGGGAAUCUCAAGUUGUAGCUUCUUUUUAUUCUUCUUCAUCUCGUUGAGGGCCGAAUUUUGAAGCUAAUGGCGUCUUCUUCUUCAUUCUGAACACAUUACAGCUGCAAAAAAGGCAAGGUAAGGCGAAUGAAACGACCCAAAUGCAAGAAAAUGCCAAAACUGAAAUUUAUAACUUCAUGGGUUUUUCAAAUUAUUGUGAAAAUUCAAACCCCUUUUGCUUUCUUUUUGGUUUCCCACUUGAAAAUGCUUUACAAGAACUUCUGUGUUCUCUAUGUUUUUGUUUUAUUUUUUUUUUAAUUUUAGUUGGGGGUUCUGUUUUUUUCUUUUUCUUUUUUGUUCGUUGUCGAUUUCACUUUUUAUAUUUUUCUACAGUGUGGAUCGUUUCUCAGUGCGGUCUCACUGUUGGAUUGUGAUUUCUCUUUAAGCUUUGAAAAUGUUUAAUGCAGCUUGAUUUUUUUUUUCUUAGCUGCAUUGAUGAAUGCAGACCUCAUGCGUUUUUUAUUUCAACUUGUGGGGUUCUAAAUUAUUAGUAAAUUUUGGAGGUGAUGAUGUUUGGUGACUGAGAAAAUGCGAGAAAGUAAAAGAAAACUCUGCUUCGAGAGUUUACUGUGGUUUAGAUGGAGGUAAAAAUUAACAGAAAAUCGAAAAGAUAGGAGUGGUCUGACAUCUUUUAUAUCGUUCACUGUUCUUUGGCUGCAAAUCUUAGGGUUUAUUUUGUUGGUUUGUAUAAUUUUCACGAGAAGUUUGAUUAGUGUUGUAGAAUAGAAUGAGAAUCUUUGGUGUUUUAGCUCUGGAAAAGUGCGAAUGAUUUUUUAAAUUGAAAAUAUUUUAUACAUCUCUUCUGCAGAUUUUGGGUCAUUUUCUUCUCUUGUCGUGAAGUUUGUUUUUCUAACUGCUUUUUGUCCUACACUAAAAUUUAAUUGUUGUUUGUUUUUCCCCCCGUGAUUUCGGCUGUUGUAAGUGGUGAAAAAAUUUAAUAAAAAUUUUUCUGCCAGGAAGAUGUUUCAUUUUCACAUUGUCUUUUUCGUUUCCAACCAAAAAAUUACACUUAUAAAAGCUAAGAACGAGGCUGAUGCUGAUGGGAAACUUGUGAUAUAGUCCAGUAACUCACCAUGUCAACAAGGCAAACUCACCUUCCUCCUCGUCCUCGCUGCCCGAUUCAAAAGAAAACAAUUUCUGGUUCUAUUGCACCAACCCCACCUGUUAAUGAAUUAUCUCAUGACAAUUCUUCUUCAGUAAGUUCUGUGUUGGAGGAUGAGCCUGUAUGGCUCGGUGAAUUAUUAAGUGACUGUGAAUCAAAGUCCUUUGGACAACCGCUUCGACGGUCAGCUAGCGACUCUGUCACCCUUCUAGAUGGUCUAGCAGACUCACUGAGGAGUAUGUGUAUUGCCAAAGAUGUGGAGAAUUCAGUUGGGAAUGAAACUUGUGAACAAUGGGAUCCAUCUUGCACUUAUGGACCUAACUCACCCAGGAGAAAAUGCAGUUCAGAUUUUUCAAACCACAGUAUGGUUUCAGCAUUAUCAGAAUUUGUUCAUCUUCACCAUGCUGCUCCGGUGCACACAGAUGCCUGCUCCUUUGCCGAGAACUCUUCUUCGAAUUUAAAUGGAAACAUUAAUGAAUCAGUUAGGGAUUUCAACACAAAUGAAAAUGCAGCAAAACGGUUAGAUUCUAAAAUUUUCUAUCCAUCUGGCAUAAUUGUUCUUGUUGAUCAUGUAACGAGAUUACUGUCUUUGGCAUUUGCCCCCUAGUAUCCCUUUCCAAAUAUACUGCUGUUACUGAUGAUAGCAAUGCUUGUAUUUGAUGAAACAUUGACGUGGUGUGUCCUUUAUUGAUAUGAUAAUGUAACUAUGUUGCACAGUAGAGAAAAUAUAUUGUGAAGCUCCACGCGACAUGUCAAAAGAAAAGCCAUAGUCUUUCUUUGUUUCUUAUAUCUGAAACGUGUGCCAAGUAUCCUACCUUUUUGCCUUUCAUGCAUGACUAGAAUUUCCGUUCUCUGCUUUCUCUCUCGGCGAUAGCUUGCUUGUCAAAUUAAAGUCUAUUCUGAGAUACAUUAUCCAAUUUAAGACCUUGAAAUGAUGCAUCUUCUUAUUUUUAGUAAAUUCUUCCCCCCUAAAUUUUAAAUAUCAACAGUAAUUGUUAUUCAUUUAUACAGUUGAGUAAUGGGAUGCAUACCAGAGUUAUAAUAACACUAGUUGGCUACAAGUACCAAUCUUUAAUAAAGAAAGUUCUACAAUCUCUAGCUACAAUCCCUCAUCUUUCAUGUUUGUGAAUGAUCCUCUUUAUUUUUUAUGCUUGUGAAAAUUUUAAUAUGUUUGCUCCGUUGUAUAAUGGCUACUUUUCAUUAUUCUGGCAACAAAUGUCUAAUUCCACUUUUGAAGAUUGGUUUUGAAUAAUGGCUCUAGGCGUUCAAUGAGUUAGCAAACAUGAGGUGGUGGAGGGUGUGGCAGAAGCGUUGGUAAUUUUUAGUAUCGUAGUUUUCUGUUAAAACGUAAGCUGCAUAUGAUUUUGUUUCUUGUGAAGAAACGUUGCUCUCACUAGAAACUAUGAUUUAUUUUUUAUUUUGUUUAAAAAAUAUUGAUAAUUUAGGGAAAGGUGGAAAUCAGUUUCAAUUAAUGUUUGAUGUCAUAGAAAAAUGGUAAAAAAUGGUCAGUUUUUGGGUAGGAGUUUUGCUGUUUAUUUUAAAAUUAGUUCUUGCAGUACCUCAGUAAUGGAAGUAUGUAGCAUAAGCUGUCUUCAAGAGAGUAAGGAAUGUUCCCAUUUUCAUCUGUAAAUGUGAAUUAGUUGUUGCUCAGGUAACUUCCAGAUACUGGAACACCUACUUAUGAAGUGAUUUGCUGAAAAGAAUUGAGAGAUCAAGAAUAUGAUGUGAUUUCUCAUUAAUGUAUGUAUGGAUGAUGACAUGAGUCUAAUUCUUGAUAUCCACUGCUUUUAUAUAUUGAUUUUGUAUUCUACAAGUAUAACCUUGAUUAUUGCCUAUCCUUAUAGGUCACUGUUUCUAUUUCCAAAAAGUAAUGUGAUUUCUUUGCAGGCACAAUGGGCAGCGGUCAAGGGUUCGUAAGCUUCAGUACAUUGCUGAACUGGAGAGGAAGGUUAAUGUUCUCCAGGUAAUCCCAUUGGGAGAUUUGGGCUAGCAUAUGAUAACCAAUCCCUAUUGGACUGGUGACCGACAUCCCAUCCUUGUCAGAUUUCUGGACAACCUUUGCACUAAUCUUUAUUUAUCAGAAAUCUGGAACGACCUUACUUGAACAGGAUCUGUUUGAUAGGUUUACAACUGUGUCCUUGGGUUCUUGUUAGAAACCUGGAGAUAUAAAAGGAAAGAGAACCUAAGGGCAUGGAAAGAGAGAUGCCUCCCCUCAAUAACUGCUACUUACAAACACCUAGAGAAGUGUAUUCUUUGCACUAUAAGACAUCUAGUAUGUGUAUUCUACAAUUUUGACAAUUCCUAAACUUUAACUAGUGAUGUUACUUGUGACCUAGUUAGAAAUUUGCUUCUUCUUGGUCUUUGACUUCCAAAAACUUUUGUCAUUAUUGUGUGAUGAAAACUUUUACCAAUUUUUUGUAAUUUUUUUUGUGGGGGUAUGUCUCAUCUCCCCUUAUAGUAAUUGUACAUCCUCUUUUUGGUUAUGGAAAUGUUUGUUUCUUAUAAAAAAAAUAACGAAUAAAUAAGAAAGCUUGGGUCACAUGUACCAAAUGACUGACUUCUGCACGUUUCAUCUUUGUUGGUGCAGAAUUUUUAUUUGAUAAGAAAGCUUGUUAUUCUUUCCUUUUCAGUGCUGCCUUAACAAAAAUUCUUAGAAGUACUGAUGUUGUUCUCUUUUACCUUCAUAAUAUUUCUUAAGAAAAAUAUAACUCACAAUUGAAAGCUUUCAUCUCAUUCUGCAGACAGUAGAAUCACAGUUGGCAAUAAGAGUUGCCUCACUGCUUCAGGAACGGGUGGCUUUAUCAAUGGAGAAUAGCAAAUUAAAGCAGCAGGUUGCAAGAGUUCGACGUGAAAAAUUGACUUCAGAAGGUAACUUCGUCUGCAUCUUUCUUCUCAAAUUUUGUUACUCUUGCAAAUUGCAAGCAAGCAAUGUUGGAAAUAGUGCGCCGAACGUGUAUAACUUAUUUGUUACCAUUAACAGUGCGUAUCAAUGCUAGACCACAACGAAGAAUAUUUUCCCUAACGUGUGUGUACCGUAUGUGGGGACCUCUCAACUAACAAAUAACAUGUUGAUGUAAAGAGACCACUAGAGAGUAUAAAAAGGCAAGGGGGUUUUCUUUUAUUCUUCCAAAGCCUGUAGUCUAGAAUUACAAGGCAUGGCAUGGGGUACCAUUUCAAUGUUGACAAACAUAAAGUUAAAGAAAUUUACAAGAGGGUUCAAGAAAUGACAAAAUAUGUGCGACUUUGGUAAUAGAGUUCCUUUCAAUGCAUUGAAUCUUAAGGUAAGGUGAGAUUUAAAAGAUGGCCUCUCGAUCCUUCCUAAUCCUCCCCUUUAUGUCUGUAAUACUCCCUCCACUCCUUUGCUUUGUUUUUUCGUUUGUUCCUAAGAUAUUCUUUUUAGUGAGAUUUUCUAAUUCCCAUUGGAGGGUUGGAAGUAUUCCGUCCAUAGUAAGUGCAUGGUUGAGAAAACAGCUGUAUGUUUGAUGUUGUGUAUUAGAGGCAGCAGAGUGGGGCUACCCUACUUCUAAGAUUUUGGUUCUCAAAAGAUUUUCAAGCAAAUCAUAGAUGAAUCAAUCAACUCACAAGUGAUCUUACAUUGGUUCAUUUUUUAUUGAAAAAUAAAAAUAAGAAAGUUCAACUGUUCAAAUUUGAGAAUAAAGCUGAUAAUUCGUUCAUAGUUUCUUAAUGACUGAUGAUUUGCUCUUAAGAUAUCCAUCCCCUUAAAAGAUAAAUCCACCCCCUUAAAGAAAUCUUUCAUUCUUGAAAUUGCCUUGAACACAUCACAAUCUACCAACAUAGCUUUACUUUCAGAGGGCGCUCACCAAGCUACUGAAAAGUGAAAUCCCAUCCCAAAGGGGAAGAAGGAACAAAGUUGCCACCAAAACCUUCCAAUAUCACCAAGUGAAACUUGAAAGGACAAUGAAGCAAUGCUCAUCUUAUGGUUUGCACCAUCUGUAUCCCCGGAAUGAGUAUGAAAAGGAAAAAUGAGGUACUCUUUUCAGCAACCUGUCUGUCGUGUUGAUGCUUCUAUGACUUGAAGGCAAAGAAAGUAUUUAUACCUUCUUCCCUUACCUACCUUUCCAAACCAACUUACUUCGUGGAGAAGGAAUAACAACUUUGAUAUCUGACACAUGGAGAGAGAACAAAGAUUCACAUGAAAAUGGGACUAAACUUCCCAAAGACCAUGAUCCUUAAUCCUUUUCAUGCUGAUCUUCUUACUCUUUUGGAUUGUUAAAGCACUUUGUUAAUUUUUGUAAAAGAUAAUCCUAUAUGAGAAAAAAUGUAAUUGAGGUUUAAUUUAUACGUAAUUCAGGAAUUACCAGAAAAACAGUCAAAUAAAUAAAUAAAUCAGAAUAAGCACUUGAAUAAAUAUAUAAUUUGGUUGCUCCAAUCUAAUCAUACUACUUGCUCACACUAUGGCUGAACUCAACUUUCUGUAUUUGAGGAAUGAAGAAUUGUGUUCUAAAAGUAACAAUUUGAGAAACAUUUGAGGUCUGAGGGUAAAGCAAACUGUGUAAAUGUGUGGUGGCGCUUCUAGAAAGAAAAAAACAUGACAUUCUUUCUACAGUGAUUUCAAUUCUAAAAAUAAUAAAAAAGUUGUAGACUGUGAUUGUGGGCUCUAUGGAGCAUUUUGAGGGACAUGAGUUUUUCAUUUUAAGCAUGUAAACGUUAGGCCAAAAGCUUAGAUAGGUAACUUUAUUUGGAGUGCCAAGUUUAUAAAGCUUGGAAUUAGGAAACUUGAAUUUGGGUGCAGGUAUUAGAUCCCAGGCGUUUAGAAAAAUGGAGGUGUGGGUUUAGCACUAUUUAAAUCCACGAUUUUGUUCAACAAACACUAAGUUUGUCAACUCAAGGAGUAAACAUGGUUUAACAUCUCAUGCCAAACUCAUCCAAAACCCCAUAUUUGUUUUACUGUAAUCUGUUUUUCUGGUGUACAGCCAAGCAAGAUUUAACAGCAAAGAGAAAUUUUAGUUAUAUCUAUGAGUACUAGGACUAAAAUAAUAAGCUCAUAGGACUUCACUUGCUACUGAGAUUUCCACUCUGUUUCAAAAUGAUAACUUCCUAAAAUGGGAAAAUCUGAGUGUUUCUGCCUACUUUCCUAUUCUGGUCUCACUGAUCGUAAUGGGCAGAAGUCAAUGGAAUAACUUUGUUUGUAUGAGAUAUGUGUUCUGAAUGCCUAGAAAUAUCAUAUAUAGCUUUUCUUCUUAUGGUGCUUACUGGUUAAAAGAAACUCACCUUGCUACAGGUAGACACCAGGUACUUAAAAAGGAAGUGGAGAAAUUAAAGCUUGUUUUAGCAAAACUUCCAGAAAGACAGCAAGUCAAGAAGUCAUUUUGAGCCUUCUUCUUCCGGGACGUUAUUCAGACCGCCAUCGAACGAUCAUCGAUAAAAUCCAGGAGCAAACUUGAAAGUAUGAGGACAUGGGACUGAUGUGCUAGCCUCCUCCUGCCAUUGUUCUACCAUUGGCAAUGAUUUUCUGCCAUUGAAGUGGAACUUGAAAUUUGUUUUUACUGAUCUGACUUCACGAGGAAAAAAAAAAAAAAACUUUGAUUCCAUCUUUAGUGAUGUUUACUUGAAAGGGGCAAGCAUCCUCUCUGUCUUUGAAAAUGAACCUUUUGGAUUGGUGUAGCUAUGGUGUUUGAAGGGGUUUUAGAAAUUGAAUUUUUGCAGAAAAUUGGAGUUUGAUUCUGUAUCUAAAGGCAGGAUUCACUGGGUACACCCACAGGAAAAAUUAAAAGAAGAUUGAAAAAGAAAGACAGCAUAUGGACCUACAAUCAUUGUUGAAGGAAAAUUUUAUCCACGCACACUUUUUUUCCUUUUUGGACUUUGAAAGAGAUGAUAUAUGCUGACGUGCUAGAGAGCCAGGAAGCAACUCCUUGAUAUAUAUUACUUCUUUUUUACCUAAUAAAAAAAAAGGCUUAAUUUCUAUAUAAAUAUAUAGAAAAGUUGUAAAUAAUAAAGUGGUAAAAAAAUUUACACCAAAUUCCUUUUAUUCAAUCAAUAAUAGACGUCAAUAUAGGCGUAUAGUUCAAUUAGUUAGUGUCUAUCUUUCUGGUUCACUUUUUCAAAGAAAAAGUAAAGAGUUUCUUCUAUCAUAUUGUAAAUCUCACUAGCCAAAAAGUGUGUUAGUUACUUGGAACCACUGAAUCAUUGCCACAAUUCCUGGUCUCAAAUAUCGGAUGUUUUAAACUAAAUUAAUCAUUUGAUUUAUUCAGGUUCCAUCUCAACUAAAUUUAUUCAAACUGCCAUCUAAGUUUUUUAAAAAAAUCGAGGGUAAUCUAUUCUUAUUCAUCAACCAAAGCAGCUAGUAUGUUAAAUUAGAACAAUAGUUCUUUGAAGUUAACCGUUAAUGAACACGACUAAUGUGCCUACAUAUUAUCUGGCAUAUAAACUAUAAACUAUAAGUUAUGAACUGUCAACACAAAAAAAUGAUACCAAGAAUGUGCCUAUAUAUAUAUAGUUUGAGCCAAAGACUUCAAGACUGCCUGGAGGAACAAUUCCAAAUGCAGGUUGUUAUCAAAUACAUGAUGGAGUAAAUAAUCAAACGAUGAAUUGAUUAUCCAUUUAUAUAUGAAUCAAUAUAAGCUCUGCACAAAUAUGUAUACAAAGAUUCACUCCAAUUUUUGGCCUCCCGGUAAAGAUGGUCCAGAUGAGACAAAUGCAACUUCUAGCCUCGAAGGGAUGCGUGAGGAACAGCGGGUAAACCCAAUUCAUCCUCGGCCUGUACAAUUAAGGGGGGAAAAAGAACUCAAUGCAUGUAAAAGAGCCGAAGGAGCAAAGGUAAAAUUAGACCAUAUCAAUCAAUAACACUAUGUAAUUUAGAAUAGAUGGAUCCUGACAUUCUCUUGAACAGACGACAGAUGUGUAACUUCAUGUUAAUGGAUGCAUAUGCAGUUCAUGUCGUGAACUACGUAGUGAUUUUCUCAAGAAAGAAAAAAAAGGGUGUUGGCAUUAGCAUGCAUCCUGUAAAUCUAAGUAAUAUGCAUUUCACAAUCGUCUUUUAAACGAACAAGUUCGUGACUAUUCACUCAGAAAUUGAUCCUGUUUUUCAACGACCAUUACCUGCGCAUUGUUUCUGCCAGCAGGAACUGCUGCAUGCCCUAUAGGAGCGGCAGGCAAGUUGAGCUCUCCUUCAAAAUCAGAUUCCUUGUCAGGCUGGAGAUAAGAUGGAACCCCAUCAGCUUCAGUUUCAAAUCCCAUGUCUGCUUCCAAGGCAUCAAGCUCUAUAAUCCAAAACGUAGGCACGAUGUAAGAUAACUAGGGUACCAUAUAUUUCAUCGACAUUGAGCCAAAAUACAGUAUUCUUACCACCCAAAAGUUCAUCCUCAUCAAUGUCGUCAGGUACAUUAUAGCUCCUACCAAGAGUCUCUUGAAUUUCAUUGCUCACAUCCAUCAGAUCCAUCAUCUCAUCUUGUAAGUUCUGCAGGCAAUACAAAACCUCUCAACAAAUGCCAAAAUAAAACUAGGGAUGAUAAAAAGAGUUGAUUGCUACUGACAUCUAUGUCUUGUAUUCUGACUGUUUUCAUCAUUCCUUUCAACUCCUUAUUGGCGGAUUUCAAGGCCGACAUCUGGAAAAUACAAAACCAACGUUAGUUUGACAGAUAAAGUGACUCUCCUAUUUGAUUAAAUAGAUAAAUAAAAACAGGAUAUCAAUCCACAAUCCGAGCUAAACUGAUAUUAAGAAGAACCAUAAGAGAGAAUCUAGAUAGAAUUUUAUUGAACUUCAAGAAAUGCCUUCCUAAUGACAGAUGUUUGUCCCCUACCUCGUUCUCUCACGAGGUAGGCAGCAGGUUCCAAUUAGACAGACAAAGCUCCACCUGAACUGCCCUGAACUCUGUACUUGUACCAAGAAAACAAAUUUUUGGCAAGAAUUAACUGAUGGAUUAAUAGGAAUUACCGCAACCCAGAUUUCUUGGUCAUCUGACUCACGUAAUAAACACAAACUAAUACACGCGAUAUCUAGUCAAACAAUUAUUAAGUACGCAAGUAAGUUAUUUCCCCUUUCCAAACCUAUGAUUUCCUUGAUCUAACAUUAAAUCUUUAAGUCCAAAUCUGCCAUGGAAGACUCACAUUUUAUUAUUAAUUAUUAUUACUUUUUUGGAUGGCUGAAAAAUGAGAAGACCAAUUAUCACAAAAAUAUUCAGCAGAUGUUACCGUUUGCUGAGCAUCUUUUAUGCCCUCCGAGGCAAAUGCAACUUGAUCUAAGUUAAAUGUCUGAUUGUAAAGCAUGUCACGUUGUCCUUCAUACCUGUUCAGAAGCAAAAGAAAUAUCUUAAUAACCAUUCUGAUAGUAAACAAGAGAAAGUAACCAUACAUAGCAUGGUGAACAAUUUUAAGUUUAGAACAAAAUAAUCCCAAUCCAAUUUUAGUCAGACGACUUUCCCGUUCAGUUUGAUAGCAAGCAAUUAAAUCUACAAGCUUUAUUCCAUAAACAAGAUUAGUUAAAUUAUGGUCAAGUGAAUCAAAGUGUAAGGAAUUCUGGAAAAGGGAGACAAUGUAUUCCCGGGAACCUAACAGUUAACUACGAAAAGGUAAAAGUACAACAAAAGCACAGGGAAAAACAGAAGUUCAUAGUAAUCUAUUAUAGGCCAAUGUUAGGCAGAGGACCAGUCCCAAGGAAACAUGUUUAAGUAAACAUAUAUGCCUUAAAACACGAACAAAGUUGACAUACAGGCUUGUGGUAGAUCUCCAAGCCAAACUACUUUUUAAGUGAAAGAAUAUGAAGGUUAAUCAUAUGCUCAUGUAGCACGGAACAUACAUUCGUUUUUGCUUUAGAACUCUCAUUGCUCGGGCUUUAACAGCUUCUUGAGCUGGACCAGGCCUCGUUUUCUUGAUCUGCUCCUUAUAUCUACUGAGUUCAACAUCAAGCUUCUUUAUCUUAUCAUCAACUGAUUCACCCCUUUUAUUAAUCUGAAAAACAGAACACGCUCAACCCCAAUUGAAACAAAUCGAUUAAAACCAAAACCAAAACCCUAGAUGUCAAAAAUUAUAACGGUUUACCCUAUCGGAGGCAUCUUGAAUAGAAGGCGGCGGUUCUUUGUCUUUCUUGACACCAAAAACCCUCUUCAUCUUUCUGUUCUUCUCCCUAUUCCUUCGCUGCAAAAAAGAACAAAAAAAUGGAGGAAUUCGACGUCGAUUAACUUAGAAAGAAGAGAAACGACGCCGGAAUUCGGAAGAAAAACACUCCAAAAUGAGAAUUUGGUUACAGCGAGAAGAUCGCGAUGAGAAUCUCUUUGUUGAUAUCUCCUUUUCUUGGAUCGUUCAGAGGACGAAGGAGAAGACCAAAUGGAAAAAUAUUCCGCUGCACCCGAUUCUAUGUUUGGAGAACACAAUUUACGGCUUUACCCCAUAUAAUAGAAUUUAAAAUUUUGCAAAUACGUUUUGGUUGAAAUUGGAUUGAUGACAAAAACCUUUUAAAAAAAACAGUUAAUGCUAUAUUUUUAAUAUAUCAAUCUAUCAAAUAGUCAUUAACUUUUAAACGUGUUACCUUUCAAUUUAGAAAAUGUAGUAACGUAGAUUCAAUUACGAUAAUUUUUUUCAUUUUUUCAAAUUUUUUACCAUUUGUAAUAAUUAUAUAUAUAUAUAGAAAAUUAGUGUAGAUAACAAAAUUACUAAAACUAUAGAAUUCUAUCAAUACUAUUUUAUGAUAUUUUGGUAUAUUUGAAAAUGAGCAUAUAUAUAUAUAUAUAUAUAUUUGACUAAGUUAUAUAUGUGUGUGGUUUUAUCAUGAAAUAGUUGAAGUUUUCAAUUUAGUCCAACAACCACGACAUCUCAAAUUGAGUUAUAAACAAAGCUCAAAGUCAAACAAAUUGGUACUUUAUUCUUUUAAAACUUUCAAUUACUUUGUUUGACUAUUAAAAUUAAUUUCAGAUUGCGUAAUUAUUGUUAUAUUUUGGUUAAAAAUGUCAUAUGUAAUGGAAUGUAUAAUUAGCAAAAUGAAAUUAUUUAUAUAAGAUUACCUAAUUUGAAACUAUUUUAAAACUUUAUUGACGUAUUAAAAUGAAAUUUAAAGAUAAAAGAUCAAGUGUAAUUGAUCCAACAUUUGGUUAUAUAAACAUGUCUAGUUUUUUUCUAUUAAAUUAAAACACAGAUAAAUUCUACUAAAUUAAAUUAUUUUCACAUCACAUUCUUGUUUUGUAAAUAGAUUGUCAUUUUGAGACAAUAAGAACUUUAAUUGGAUAAUUAUAUAUAUAAAAAGAAGAUAAUACAAGAAGAAUAAAAUUGAAAAUCUUAAAAAAAAAAAAAGAAUAUUACACAAACACAAGCUUUCUCUCAAACUCACUACAAAAUAUUACAAUUCAGCACUCACAUGAGAUAUAACUUCAAAGACUUUCUUUUCAAGUCUUCUAAGACAUUUCAACUCUUAAAUCACACAUCAUAGAGUGUCUUUCAAGCCACUUUUUUUGAGAAAGAUACGAUACAACGAAGACGAACCAAACCCACUCACAUUGAAAAGAUCAGAGAAUGUUCGAUAUUGUACCAUCAACAUUUUGAUGACCAUGUUGUAUUGUACAUCAGUUGGUUUUGUAGAACCAUGUCAGGGAAGAAAAUGCAGCAAGGACUGGAUGGUUCAGCUCGAUGAAACAUCAAGGUGCUAAUCCAAGUUCCUUUCUUGUCUUUCCCACAAACAAGUCUCCAGAUUUAAUCAAUCCAGGGAUGCAUCCACUAAUUGUAAUGAAAGGUAGUUGUGCAACUCCUUCUUUCCUUCCGAGAGAAACGAUUGCGAGCUGGGAACCGGGUUUGUACGUAGCUAGCCUGCUCUCAUUUGCUCCUGCUAGCAUCAGUUUUAGGUUCUUGGAAGUUACAUGCGCAUGUCUUUCUGCUAAGUAACCUUGUUUGAUUUCCUGUUCAAUGAAUCCAAAUUCACAAUAUUAAUAGCUUUGACAUUAUUACAGAUUUCUUCUUCACUUUUGACCUUUUAUCAUUUUUUCCUACUUUUUCUAGCACCCUAUAUAGAAAUGGUCUGCUCUUAAGUUCAACUCAUUGGAGGCUACUUUUACUUGUUUCGACAUUUAUGAUUUAAACACAAGUUGAAUUACAAAGGACAACAAACGAUGAUCAUCCUGCCAUUGACCUAAAAAGACAAUUAGGAUUCUCUUUGAAUCAACUUAGUGAUAUAGAAGUGUCAAAAUCAAACCGCCAUGAAAUAUGAGUUCGGAUAUGCAUGUAUCAUUGAGCAUGAUGAAGGAAGGGCAGUCAUCUAUUAGGUUACAACCAACUCUUCUACCCUUAAGAGAAUUUUUUUUCAUAAACUAGUAUAUAAGUUAUCUAUUUUGUAGCUAUUAACUAAAUGCAAUUAUGGCUAAUGGUUAAUUAAGAAAUCGUCCAAUCUUUUAAAUAAAGGACUUGCCUGAAGGUCUGUGAUAUCUCCCACUGCAAAGACAUUCUUAAAACCCCUGACUCUCAGGUGCUUGUCGACCAUCAGUCUUCCAUGGAUGUCCAAGCUUUUUGCCAAGACUGUCUCUUUCAACCACUGAGAUCCAAUUGGUUUUCCGGUGCACAUAAAGUGGCAAUCGGCUGCAAUAGUCUCGCCACCUGAAGUUUGAUAUACUCCCUCUGAUAAAGCUUGCAUUGAAAUAGAUUGUUGGAGGAUCACUUCAACUUUCUUUGAUGUUAGCCAAUCCAGUGCUUUUUGAGAAGCCUUAACCCCAACAAAUUCCAUUAAUCUCGGCCCUCGGUGUAUUAAUUUCAAAUUUUUCUCAGGAAAAUCAACUGCAAUUUCAGCAGCAAGUUCAACACCAGUAGGGCCUCCUCCAAUUAUUAAAAUCGUAUCGGCAGAUUUUAUCUUCUCGCAUUCUGUAUCCAAAAAGACCAAGUUAGCUAGCUAAUCCAACCUAUAUGUUUGAUGUCCUAGCAUAUCCUGAAAGCAAUUAAACAGAAACUUAUUCCUACUUUCAAUUUCAGCUACUGUCGAUCCUAUUUAUAGUAACUAGAGUAUUUUGCUUAGGGGCCAGUUCUCAAAAGAUUUCACCACACGAAACUUAGCUCCAAGAGCCAACUAUAAGUUAUAAGUUCUCAACCUAGGAGUUUGAGUCGAACGUCAGAGACCAUUAUUCUCUUUCUAGUUUUAUCUUUAUCCCAACGCUUACUAAAAUUGGAUAAAGACCCCAAAAUUAGAACCGGGCAACUCCAAAAGUUGAAGGUGCAAAACAAGAAGGCUUCUGUCUAGCUUAUGUACAAAUCAAGAUUAUCUAAUCACUCUGCUACUUUACGAUCACACAUAAACGAAAUUUUGUAGUGAAAGUUGCAUAUAUCAGGUAUGGAAAUAAAGCUCCAGAGAAAGAAAAAAAAAAGAAGUGCAAGUCCAUGCAGAUCCUACAACUGAACUAUUGGCAUGGCCAGUUCUACUUCAAGAAAAAACAUAAAAGUUUCAUUGAAACAAUUUUAUUCACCUGCUUGGUAUUGACCGAGCCUUUCAGUUCUACUUUUUGGAAUGUUUUCCUUGUGACCGGUGGCAACAAUAAGAUAAUCGUAAGGAACUGAAGAGCCAUCUGACACGAAAACUUCCUUGUCUGUAAUACUUGUGGCUGAAGAUGCAAUAAUUCUUGCAUUGGGAAGGUAAUCUGUAUGAUUAAUCACAGAUCUUUCAGCAAAUGAUGGCUCCACCAUUGACCUCAAGCCUGCCCAUGAGAUCUCGAAAUACUCCUUCCUGAAUCCAGUUAAAUCAUUUAUUUAUCAUUAUGACCAUUCUGAAAAAUAAUUGCUUCAGGAAAAGAAAAGCUGGGACGUAACUCAAGUUGCACCUCUAGCUAAGAAUGAAAUCAAAUUAAAUAGUAGAAAAUGAAGGACAAGAAACUUGUAUAUUGUUGGUUAAAAAAGAAUAAGUAUAUUUAUCCAAAGAUAAUUUUUUCUUAAGAAAAACCCUCUAGGCCAAACAAAAAUAAAUAUACUGGGGGUGUUUGGUCCCAACUUUAAGAGGUGAAGUCAUGUUUGGGACUCCAGUUACAAUGGUUGGUAUUUCGAACUACUACUUCCUACUCAUACUAUAAUAGUUUCACCCCAAACAUAUCCCAUUAUAACCUACACUAAAAUAAUAUGUACACCAAAUUCAGACUAAUAACCUAUAAAAUAAUAUGAUCCAACAACACUCCCCUGAGUGUUUGUCUACUGGACAUGCUCUUCAUGUAGUAUAGUCAAAGAUAAUGUACCCUCAUACCAAAAAGCUAAAAGAGAUUUAUUCUUUUGUUUGAAAAAAAUCCACUAAUACCAUUCAACAAUUAAAACCAUCAACAUACUUGUCCCCCACCGCCGAUAUUAAUAACGAUAAUAAUAACAAUAAUACCAACAACAACAAUAACAACAAAGGAGCUUCAUUAUCUAAAUAUAUUCCAUUAGCAUAUCAUCCUCUAACAAAUGAGAUAAGCUCUUGCAAGCCUCGAAUCAGCUACUUUUCUAUUGCCUAUAAAUAGCUUAAACAUUCGACUUAAUCAUCCAAAAUUCUCUUCCUCGUAAUUAGCUAAAGCCUGAAAUAGGCAUACGAAAUAUUUACCCUAACGUUAUUUGAUUUUAUCUCUAAACAUAACUUUAUUUGGUUUGCCUCAGCCCUUCCUAUUCUCUGCCUCAUAACACACUCCACCAAGCUAUAAUGAUAACUCUAAUUUUUCUUAUAUUCGUCCAUGAACCACUCCCCUUUCACAAAUCCAUCAAUUUAUCAACACAAUUACCAAAUCUGCAUAUUACUUUCAACCAUCAAAUUAAAUCACCCUUUCUCCAGUUCAAAUUGUCAAGGAAAACCAUUAGUGAUCUGCCAUUAAUAACAACUCGUGUAACGAAAUAAAAUUUCAGUCAACGAGUAGCCGUUACAAUUUCUCAGCAAGAUCACCAAUUAACGAUUUCCCUUAACACGAAUCCCCUCCAACAAAAUGGGCAACAAACAGUUCCUAAACUUUCCAAUGAACAAACAAUAACAGAAUACAUAUGUAAACAAAGCAAAAACUUACUGAUCGAUUAGAACGACAUCGGCGACAAAUUGAAGAGAAUAAGCAACAAAUGCGCCGCCAAUUCCUCCACCUACAAUCACCACUCUCUUCUUGUCCUCGGCCGCCAUCAUCUGCAGGCCUUUGGUAGAAUUCAAUA